AAAACACUGCAGACAUGCUACUGUAAGAAAGGCUGCGGAGAGUUUUGGGUUCUAAUUGUAAGUAAUUUCACAAUUGAUCAGUAAAGAAAUAAAGCAGUAAGAAAGAAACCAAAGAAGUAACCAAGAAACCAAAAGCAAACACAUGAACUGUUUUGUAAACAUCUUUAUCAUCUGUGUCAGGACUGUGCCGCCCUGGGGUGUGGCCUGUGGAUGAAGCCCACACCCUCCCCGGUCUCCCUGACCCUGUGUUCUGCUAACCCCCUGCAAGGCCCGUGCCUCUGUUGUGAUGUCUGAUUGCUGUGGGAAUUAGAGGUCAUAGAUUCCUCUGGAGUAUGGACCGUGCCUGUCUUAGGCACCAGAUUGUCAAUGUCAGACACAAUUUCCAGGCAAAAUUCAGACACUGGAUAAAUAUUUAUUAAAUGAAUGGAUUAAUGAACGCAUAAAUUGAAGAGAGAUUAGUACCAGUGGGGAAAGCACAUUCGCACAGGGAAAAUUUCGCACAUAAAGCAAUCUGCUAAAGAUAUUUUUAUGAGGAUAAUAUAGUUAUGCUGGCAAUUUACAUUGAACCAUCGGUUUUUGAGGUUGCUCUAAUGAUGUUUCUCUCUGGCCUUCAACAGCACUUACUGGGAGUGAGAAAACGUGACUCCUAGCUGUGGCUUUUGUGCCCUGUUAAAUUAAAUGUAAGCAUCAUCACUGAUUUUCAUCUUUCCUCUGUUAAUGUCUAAGCAACGUGCUGUUCAGACCAUCAAUGGCUCCGUGAGAGUGUACUGUGUUAGCACAAAACAACAAAUAAAACUCCAAAGCCCGUGCAGCGGAGUUAGGACAAGGUGGCUGAUGCGGUGCUGUGGCAAAGACCCUGGGGACAUUUGCAAAUGUGAGCCUCAGUGCGGUCGCCAGGCCCUGGCGGAGGAACGGGCUCCGGAUUCCUUCCCAGAGCGCCGCUCUCGCCUUCCCUGCAGUACAGAGAUCAAUUAAUCUUUUCAUGCCCAAGUUUAUGCCUCUGUAAACUGAAGAAAGCUUUGCUACCUAUACCUAGAAGAAUGUUCUGAUAAAUAAUGAAGUCAUGUCUGAAAAGCACUGUAUAAAAACAAAGUGUAAUUAUGACUUUUUCCCUCUGGUUGGAAUCGGCUUGCUUCCCACAGAUUCUAACUCCUCUGGAGCAGCUGCGGUCCAGCCCACACUUUCUCCCCCCCACUUUGGAGUUACUCAAGCAGCUGGUAACAACACUAACGCACAAGACACGUACCACUCCAUAUCCAUGGGCUACUUCUCACAAAAAGAACCUUCAAGUACUGAGCAGGUCGUUUCUGUUAUAAAAAGACAUGAGCGGACCCUACUUCAUCGGCAGUAUUUUGUAAGCUAAGCACUUUCUAUCGUGUUCAAAAAUCAGCUAUUGAGGAAGAACAAAAAUAUGAUAGCAUUUUUUUCUGAGCUGAUAAAACAGAAACAAAAAAACAACAGCAGAAAACCUUUGCACUUUCAAGCAAAAGAAAUUUCAUCCUAGGGCACUGGUUUUGGGGAGUCCUUGGAUGUAAGCGGAGCAAGUCCUAAUGAGAUAACAGGUUGCGUAAAGCAAGACCGCUGACCUUCCCGCACUGCUAUUUGUGAGGUCUUGUUCCAGUUAUAAAAUGCAGUCAGCUCAGAGUAAGUGUAUUUCCCCAGCAGUAGGCAGUUAUCUGUCACCUCUGUGUAAUCUCCAUUCUCUUUAAAGUUUGAGACUUGGGGAGGGGGGUGUCCCUAUGACUUCUGCACUUCCCAAGCUCUCUCUUCUUCCCAAGCAAUGGAGCAGCGCAGCCAUUUCUGGGGUGUUACUAAGAUGCAAUCAGGGGUCAUUCAGGGCUUGGGGGCACAGGGCAUCUUCCUGGUCCCCAAAGCCUCCAGCCAUGUCUGUUUGGGGGGAAGGAAGGGCUGAGCAUGUGUCCUGCAUUCUCCUCUAUGAUUCAAGCUUGGCAUGGCAUGAGCUCCCCUGAUCUACCAGGCCCACCUCACCCCAGGACACAUGUCAUCCACCCCUCAGUGCUCACACAAGGCCCUGCCAGCCAAAGGAGUGGGGUGGGGUGGCAGGGUUUCCCACUGCUCCAGCCAUCAAAACCUCAGAGGAGCAGGUCCUCGUCUCCAUUCUCCAUAGAAUUGUGAGUUAAGCCCCUGGAGCUCCCCCCCCCCCCCCGCAUGGUGCUGUCUUCAGUCAGUAUUGAGAUAAUACACCUUCAUGGUUUUAAUCAAAUACAUAAAAACACCUUAAAAUAGUUUCGAUUUUCUGAGAGCUUCUACUUUAAAGACAAUGGAAUUCCACAACUGAGAAGGUAGCUGAGGAGUCCUGUGGUCUACCCUGAACCUGUGCUGGUGGCCCUAAGAAUCAGAGCUGAGAUGCUGUACUGCCCCCACAGAACCAGGAGCCACACCGGGAGGAUGCUCAGAUCAGGGGCUGAAGGGAGGGACCGAGUGCUGCAGGAGUUUCCAACCAGCCUUUCCCCACUCCUCCUGGUCUCGGCCAUUUUACCUUCGCAGAUACUUAGUCUGCUACGAAGAAGGCACAGACUCUGCAAGACCAAUAGCUGCAGCUGCUGAAACUUUUGCUUUCUCCUUCCUCGGAGACAGAAAAAAAUGGGCCUACCUAAAGAUUGGUUUCCUGGCCCUGGGAGGUCUGCAAGCUUCACCGCUGGCCUGCAGAGUCUGUGAACUCUUGUUAAGCAAAUAAACUGAAAGCUCCAAGCUGUUUGACCUCAAGGAAUGAAACAUAAAAAAGAAGUAGUGUUAGAAGGAAAGAAAAUGUGCCUGGAGAUGAGAGCCACGGCCCUGCUCAGGCCACCUGAGCGUGGCAGAAGUGGACACCGAGCUUUAGGAUGCCAGGGAGGUCUGGGAAAUCGUCCUGCCUUUUAAGACCUUGA